rnacentral:rRNA from 1 species
AUGAAGCCAGCGAGGAUGUUCCCGUGCCGGCCGCUGGUGUCCCCGCCGCUACCGCGGGCCCUCGCCGCCGCGCCGCACGUCUCCGUGCGGCGGCUGCCAUGGCCAUCGACGUUGCUGCGCGUGGUGCGGUGCAUGGCCAAGGAGCGGCGGGUGCGGAUGGUGGCGAAGCAGAUCCAGCGGGAGCUGGCGGACAUGUUGACCCGCGACCCCGUCAUGCAGCGCGCCGUCCUCCCCGAGGCCGCCCUCGGCGCCGACCACUACCUCUCCUCCCUCACCACCGUCGCCGACCUCGAGCUCUCCAACGACCUCCAGGUGUGCAAGGUGUAUGUGUCCGUGUUCGGGGACGAGAGGGGGAAGAAGGUGGCCAUGGCCGGGCUCAAGGACUAG